rnacentral:rRNA from 1 species
AGAGUUUGAUCAUGGCUCAGAAUCAACGCUGGCGGCGUGCCUAACACAUGCAAGUCGCACGAGAAAGGGUAGCAAUACCUGAGUACAGUGGCGCACGGGUGAGUAACACGUGAAUUAUCUACCUCCGAGUGGGGAAUAACUGAGAGAAAUCUUAGCUAAUACCGCAUAACACUUACGAGUCAAAGCAGUAAUGCGCUUGGAGAGGAGUUCGCGGCAGAUUAGUUAGUUGGCGGGGUAAUGGCCCACCAAGACGAUGAUCUGUAUCCGGCCUGAGAGGGCGCACGGACACACUGGAACUGAAACACGGUCCAGACUCCUACGGGAGGCAGCAGUGGGGAAUUUUGCGCAAUGGGGGAAACCCUGACGCAGCAACGCCGCGUGGAGGAUGAAAUAUCUUGGUAUGUAAACUCCUUUCGAUGGGGAAGAUUAUGACGGUACCCAUAGAAGAAGCCCCGGCUAACUUCGUGCCAGCAGCCGCGGUAAUACGAGGGGGGCAAGCGUUGUUCGGAUUUAUUGGGCGUAAAGGGUGCGUAGGCGGUUUGGCAAGUCUUAUGUGAAAUCUUCGGGCUCAACCCGAAGCCUGCAUAAGAAACUGCCGGGCUUGAGUAUGGGAGAGGUGAGUGGAAUUUCCGGUGUAGCGGUGAAAUGCGUAGAUAUCGGAAGGAACACCUGUGGCGAAAGCGGCUCACUGGACCAUAACUGACGCUGAUGCACGAAAGCUAGGGGAGCAAACAGGAUUAGAUACCCUAGUAGUCC